rfam:Otolemur garnettii contig067111, whole genome shotgun sequence.
GGAUGUGAGGGUGAUCUGGCUGCAGCAUCUGUCACCCCAUUGAUCUCCAGGGUUGAUUCGACUGAUCUGGCUGUCUAGGCAGGUGUCUCCUUCCUCCCUCACUGCUCCAUGUGCGUCCCUCCCAAAGCUGUGCGGACGGUCCAAGAGGAUGUCCUUUCCCGAUAGAGGAGGACCGUUCUUCGGUUAAGGGUAUACGAGUAGCUGCGCUCCCCUGCUAGAACCUCCAAUCAAGCUUUCAAGGUCCAUUUGUAGGAGAACGUAGGGUAGUCAAGCUUCCAAGACCCCAGACACAUCCAAAUGAGGUGCUGCAUGUGGCAGUCUGCCAAAAAAA